rnacentral:misc_RNA from 1 species
AAAGUCGUAACAAGGUUUCCGUAGGUGAACCUGCGGAAGGAUCAUUAUUGAAUCCUCAGGAUGUUGCUGGCCCUUCGGGGCAUGUGCACUCCACCUUUUAAUCCACCUGUGAACUUAUUGUAGGCCCAGAUGUAAAAGUCUGUGUCUAUGUUUUUAAUACACCCUAUAAAAAAGUUUAUUGAAUGUCUAUUGAAAGACCUUAUGGUCUAGAAACAUAAUACAACUUUCAACAAUGGAUCUCUUGGUUCUC